GGUUGUGCUCCAAUACAGACCAGCAGUUUCAGACCAUCUCCUGCUUACAAUCUGAAAAAUCCUGGGUUUGGAUGGGUCAUUCUGUAGCUAUGACCGGUGUGUGUGUGUGUGUGUGUGUGUGUGUGUGUGUGUGUGUGUGUGUGUGUGUAUGCGCGUGCGAGUGCGCGUGCAUGCGUGUGAGCCAGCUGUGGAUCCAGCAAGAGCUGCUGCUGACAGACAGGAAGGCCAGUCUGGAGCUGUCAAGCUUCAGGAGCUGACUGGAGGUACGUCAGGGCUGAGGUCAGCGUCAGGGAGCACCCAUUCCCUGGGGGGCCCUAGCCUCCUCUGUCUUAUGCUUAGGACUGAAGAUACAUUGGACAGUUAUUUAUAAGGGCUCCCUGUCAGGGCUUGGACUUGUAGACCUCCCCUUCCCUGUUCAGCAGCCUGGGUUCAUCUAUCCACUUUGCCACUACUAAGUGACCUUUUGGGCCUUCCUGAGGUUGAAUCUCAGCAGUGAGGCCUCCUGCAUUCCUGGCUACUCUGGCCUUGGCUGGUAGCCUCAGUUCCUUUGGGAAAGAGAGGUUAGGAAUCUCCCAUGGAUGGGAUUUUAUACCAUCAGUCCCUUCUCUGUUCAGGUUUGUGUGAGAUUAGGACAUCUUGAUUCCUGGCUACCUACCACCCCUGCCCCUAUGGCUACCUACUACCCCUGCCUCUAUGUCUGCCUCCCACCACUGCCUCUAUGGCUGCCUCUCACCACUGCCUCUAUGGCUGCCUCCCACCCCUGCCUCUAUGACUGCCUCUCACCACUGCCUCUAUGGCUGCCUCCCACCCCUGCCUCUAUGACUGCCUCUCACCCCUGCCUCUAUGGCUGCCUCCCAACCCUUCCCCUAUGGCUGCUUCCUAUCUCCACGUGUCUUCCCCCCCCCCUUUUUUCCUCUCCUUGCCACCUCUACCUUAGCUUUUUCAGUCCCUGACCUCUCCAAGGGCCUCUUCGCUGCCCAACUAUUCAUCAUGGCGUCCCUGGACAAGUGAGGGAGAGGAACAGGAAAGUGGCCCAGAAGGAUGUGCUGUGGCCAUGGCCAAGCCAGAGAGGAGCAGGAGCUGGCAAACAUCUGGAGUGAUUCGGAUUGGCACCGAGAGCCCUAGGCGACUUGUGAGGGGCUCCAGAGUGACCUCUGGAUUCUCGUUCCUUUGCUGAGACAGGAGAGAGAGGUGUUUGGAGGGAAGACAGGCGGGCCCAUCUGCAGCUAUGAGGAAGGGCUGAGGAAAAGCUGCUGGAGGAGAGAACAGCCAGGCCCCAGGAAGAUGUCCUAGAGCAGCCUGCCCAGGGCACCAGGCUGUGUCUAGCCUUGGGUUCACUUGUCCUCUACACUCUCAGCGUGGGGUGUUGGGAUGUGUUUCAGGGUGAGGUUUUGGAAGCAGCCACCCUGAUGGCAUCCAAGGCUCCUCCUGGAGCCACAAGUAGAUGGUUGGCUGCUGGUCCUGCUGGCUUCCUGUCCUUCUUCCAGAUUCUUGUCAAAGGCCCUGGUCAGAGGGCAGACCAGGCAGCCCCCAAGUCUAUCCCUCUCUGUUCCUCUGGCCUGACACUUCCUGUUCCCACAACUUCCUCCCAGGCUCCCUCCUAGUGCUCCCUGGGUGUCCUCCCCAAGGGCCUUGACCCUCCUUAAACCCCACUCUCCUUUCCCACAAUCAGGAAGAGGCUUGAUUGCUCAUUAUGUCUGCAACCCAAAUUGUCAGCCAGCGAGAAACUAAUUUCUCCAAUUUAGGUACUCAGGUGCCGUUCUGGCUGCAUUCCUGAGAAGAGGAAAAAGUGCCCCAUCCUGUCACAGGGGAGGAGGUUGUCUUAAGAAGGGAGUCUGGGGCUAGAGAGAUGGCUCAGAGGGUAAGAGUACUGGCACCCACGUGACAGCUCACAACUGUCUGUGACUCCAAUUUCAGGGGACCUGACACCCUCACAUAGACAUACAUGCAGGUAGAACACCAAUGCACAUAAAAGAAAAAUAAAUGCUCUUUAAAUACAGGAAAGAUAAAAGAAUGGAAUCGGAGCUUCUUAUGCAGUGGAAGAGGAAAAACAAACAAAAAUGUCCAUAAACAAACCUGGGUUUCCAAAAUCUUCCCUGUCUCUUUUACCUGAAACCGGAGAGAAAUUCAUUUUUCUGCAAAAGCCCUGAGCAGGGGACUGGUGGUCUCCAGAGGCAUUUAGUUGUGUGGUGAGAAGCUAUCAGGGGCC
rnacentral:lncRNA from 1 species